rnacentral:tRNA from 3 species
GCAUCCGUAGCUCAGCUGGAUAGAGUACUCAGCUACGAACCGAGCGGUCGGAGGUUCGAAUCCUCCCGGAUGCACCA